rnacentral:rRNA from 1 species
CAGCAGCCGCGGUAAUACGUAGGGUGCGAGCGUUAAUCGGAAUUACUGGGCGUAAAGCGUGCGCAGGCGGUUCGUUAAGACAGAUGUGAAAUCCCCGGGCUUAACCUGGGAACUGCAUUUGUGACUGGCGAGCUAGAGUAUGGCAGAGGGGGGUAGAAUUCCACGUGUAGCAGUGAAAUGCGUAGAGAUGUGGAGGAAUACCGAUGGCGAAGGCAGCCCCCUGGGCCAAUACUGACGCUCAUGCACGAAAGCGUGGGGAGCAAACAAGAUUAGAUACCCGGGUAGUCCCUGUCUCUUAUAC